GCUGAAGCAAGAUUCAGAAUAGACAACAAGGUAUUAUUCUUUUUGGCUAUGACAGAGCUUCAACCCUGCAGAUGAGGACAACUCUUGGAGUUUGUCAGAGCAAUAGGAAAGAACUCACAUCCCCGAAUGACCUAAACUGGUUGAACCAUUACAUGAGAGAAAGAUAAGAAUAUAUGAAUGAUGAAGUCCCAAA